rnacentral:rRNA from 1 species
CCCUUAGAUGUUCUGGGCAGCACGCGCGCUACAAUGGUCUUCGCAAACGGAUGCAUUCUCGAAGGAGAAUGCCAAUCUUGGAAUCUAUGCCUUGGUCGGGACAGUUGCUUGCAAUUUUUCGACUCGAACCAGGAAUUCCUUGUAAUCGUGAUUCAUCACAUCACGAUGAAUACGUCCCUGCCCUUUGUACACACCGCCCGUCGCUCCUACCGAUCGAAGAGUUAGGUGAAUUGUUUUGAUCGAUAAGAUUUGACUAUGGUCAACUCUCGUUGUGAAAUUCUGUGAAUCUGACUGUUUAGAGGAAGGGAAAGUCGUAACA